rnacentral:rRNA from 1 species
UACGGGGGGGGGCAAGCGUUGUUCGGAAUUACUGGGCGUAAAGGGUUUGUAGGUGGCUUGCUAAGUCAGACGUGAAAUCCCUCAGCUUAACUGGGGAACUGCGUCUGAUACUGGCGAGCUUGAGUGCAGGAGAGGAACGCGGAAUUCCCGGUGGAGCGGUGAAAUGCGUAGAGAUCGGAAAGAACACCAACGGCGAAAGCACUCUGCUGGGCCGACACUGACACUGAGAGACGAAAGCUAGGGGAGCGAAUGGG